rnacentral:sRNA from 1 species
ACGUACCAAAAUCCUCAAGAUUCUCUGGCAUUUAUUUUAUUGCUGUGUUUAAUUUGAAAACCAGUAAAAAUGACUCAUUUUAAGCUAACAUUUCUUCUCUAAACCCUUACAUUUCUUUUUCUGCUUAACUUCAGAAUGGGAAAUGCAACCUAGAACCAAACGGUCAUCACUUCAGCAGGGUUUUUUGAAGAAUCAAAUAUUCAGUGGGAUACAAAUGACAAGAGGCUACAGUGGAUGGAAACUCUGUGACUGUAAGAAUUGUGGCGAGGUCUUCAGGGAACAAUUUUGCCUUAAGACACACAUGAGAGCUCAGAAUGGAGGGAACACUUCUGAGGGUAAUUGUUAUGGAAAAGACACCCUCGGUGUGCACAAGGAAGCCUCUAUUGGACGGGAGCUUUCCAAAUUUAAUCCAUGUGGAAAAGUCUUCACUCUAACUCCAGGUCUUGCUGUACAUCUUGAAGUUCUCAACGCAAGACAACCCUACAAAUGUAAGGAAUGUGGAAAAGGCUUUAAGUAUUUUGCGAG